rnacentral:misc_RNA from 1 species
UCGUAUAACCGAGGCACUAGGGCUGUCGCUGACCUUUCAAAGGGUCGUGCACGCCCGAGUGCUCUCUCGCAUCCAUCUCACCCCUUUGUGCAUCACCGCGUGGGUCACCUUUUUGGCUCGCUUCCAAGGAGGUUGGUUCGCGUUUUUAUACACCCCUCUAUGUAUAGAAUGUCUUUGCUUUUUGCAAUAAUUAAAUA